UAAGUAGGCAGUGAAAUCUGGUGGCUCAACCAUUCAGGCUAUUGCCUAAACUGUUAAGCUCGAGACCGUUAGGGGUAACUGGAAUUUCUAGUGUAGGAGUGAAAUCCGUAGAUAUUAGAAAGAACACCGAUAGCGUAGGCAGGUUACUGGGACGGUUCUGACACUAAGGCACGAAAGCGUAGGGAGCAAACGGGAUUAGAUACCCCGGUAGUCUACGCCGUAAACGAUGGAUACUA
rnacentral:rRNA from 1 species